CCAAGGCAGACAGCUGGCAGCCUCCGCCACGGGUGAAGAAUGAGGAGCAAGCUGGCCGGGGACCGAGAGCCCAGCCAAAUCAGCCGGGGACAGGCAUGGGCCAGGCCGAGCGGGGCGUGGAGCUCCUUCUACUGGUGCGGUGACCCACACUUGAGGCAAGGCGAUGUGGAGCUUAUGACCCCCUCACAAUAAUGCUCGCAAAGCAAAGGGAAAAAAAAUAUGCAGAUUGGCAAAGGCAGCUGAUUAUAUGGAAGCACAGUUUUCAAAAUAUUUGCAAAACAAAUAUGAGAUUCAGUCCCAGAUCCACCUUCUCACUAACACAUCAGAUAGGAAGACCACGAAGCAGUUCCGUUAACUGCCACAAUUUCGAAGCGGUGAUAAGUGUCAAUGAUCUUUCGAAAUGUCUGCAACAACUACCACGUGACAGGGAAUAUGUGACUUCGGCAGGUGACAGAGUCACGGGCACCGUACUGCUGCAUUCAGCGGCCUCAGCCUGUGUGACUGAAGAGAGACGUUCUGCUUCAGGUGGGAACUGGAGAGACGAAAGUGGGCUGCUCUCCUGCCUUCCCUUAGCUUGCUCCCCGUCAGAUUCUCCCAGGACAGCAGAGACCUUGCCUGUCCUGUCCUCGGCUGUGGACACUUCCAGACAUACAGGUGGUCAGCAAAGGGUCUUUAGAGCAAUCGAGAGACCAUGCUGAGGAGAUGGGCCCACAGUGAGAGGCCUAGAAGACUGUGCUCCGAAUGGCUGAAGCCAGAGGGAAUAGACUCACUCUGGGAGGGAGGUCAGCCUGAGGAACAACCGCGUACCCACAAGGCUAGGCUGGCAGGCAGGGUGACUAGAGGUGAGCAUGCUGCAUGACCGGUCUGAGCAUCAAUUGUGGAUGUCAGCAGCUCCUUUGCUCCCAGCUGCCCUCUGUCCUCCUCGCCUCCCUGGACGUUAAGCAGGGACCUUGGAGAAGCUGGGCCUAGAGUGCUGUCAUCAGCUUCCAGCAUUUCUGUGAUGGUAGAGUGUGCCAGGGACGAGGAGAAGCAGAGGCCAGAGGCUAACAACGUGCCUUGGGAACGUCCCAACAGCAGCUAUGGCAGAGAGAACUAGAGUGUGGGAUCAGGGAGACAAGGCAGGAUAAGCCAGCUCAGCUAUCCCAGACUGGAGCAGGGUGUUUGGGGCCCAGAUCUCAGUUACCCGGGGGAGCCAGGGGGAAAGCUGCCUUCUGGAACCUCACGUGAGAUCCACGCCACCUGUUUGUUGUUAUUUAAUUUUGAGACCGUGUCAGAGAGACAGGGAUGGCUCUGAACUCACUAUGUAGACUAAAGAUGAUCUUGAACGUCUAAUCUUCCUGCCUCACGGCUUGAGUGCUGGGAUUACAGGCAUGUGCCACUAAACUCCAUUUAUGUGGCGCUAGGGACUAAGCUCAGGACCUCAUGCCUGCUGUUGGGCAAACAUUCUGACAGCUGAGCUACGUACCCAGCCAUCGUCACCCGCUUCCGCGUGUGCCCAGCAGGUCACACUCUAGCCCUACGCCGCUGGCUGUCUCAGUUGCUGAGAUGAGGGAAUUCCUUCUGCAUAGCAGGUUUGAAAGGAGCUCUAAAGGGCGUUGUCUGGGGCACCACCUUUGUGACUUUGUCGCUACUAACAUGGGAGAACGACUCGAUGACAAUAGUCUACCAUUUCCCUUCACAAGCCUCUUCCUCAACGGAAAGAGGGUGGAGAAUAGAUCUAGUGUUAGUAUGUGGCCAGUAGGUCGGGGUGGAGAGAGAUCCGUGUUCAAAUCUCAGCUCUGUGGUUAAUGCCUGUAUGUCUCUGGCUGAACCACGGCACCUCUCUGAGCCAUCUCUCUCUCGUUUCAUUAAACAAGGAUACCGCUUUUCUUCUGGUAGUGUUUCAAAUAUUACAGGCUAGAAGUGAUGCGAGUAAAGUCCUUAGGACAGGGCCUGACCCCUCAUAAGCGUUUAAUCAGUGGUGGCCAUAAGUGUGUUGUUUAUCGCAGCCGAAGCCUUGUGCGGGGAGACAAGGACACAGGUAAGGGGAUCACCUGGCUCUCUACUCAUCCUUAGAAAAUGCCAGGCCUACAGGGGGCCUGGGUUUGCUGCCCUCAACCGGCCAUGCUGGUGACAGGGACCUGCAUGUAUCCUCCAACCUUGCAGAGUUGGACACCUCUGGACAGACAGACAGACGCUGAGCUGUCUUUGAAGAAAGCAACAGUGAGCAGAAGGCCCUCAGCCUGGAGGAUUCAGGUCUAACUCACCCAGGGUGGAAAGGGAGAACCAGGAUUGCUUUACAUGACAGACAAGCAGUGGCUGGCCCUGUGCUCACCCUGGGCUCUGGGCAAGCUUUUCGGUUCUUGAGCUGGGCCCGUUCCUUAUGCCAGCAUGAUCCCAGCACAAAGGUCCUUACUGGAGGACCAGCAUCCUAAUGAACUGGGGAGGAACUGUGUGGGUCCAACUUUCCUCAUACCCAGGCUUUUUAGAAAGUUAGAGGAAGAAGAAAGUCCCAUGCUGCUCUGACUCACGUGACGUCAGGAGCCCAUUUUACAAAGCCACACCUCGUGCCUCUGGGUUGUGUAGACGAGAGGGCCAGGGUCCUGAUGCAGGCCAGCGUGGGUUCCAGGCCCAGCUUUAGACUCGACGAGCAUGAGGUGAACUCACAAAGGAAAACAAGGUGAUCAAAGACACUCAGCAGCCUGGGAUGGAGAACCCAGCCCCCCAAACUCUCAUCAAAACCCUGCUUUGCUGUCUCCCUGACAGGGAGGGACCUGACAGUCAGGGCUCACAAAUCCAAGUCAGGACCCAUGGAUGAUGAAGUAUUUUCUACCCUGGGUAUAGCCUACUCUUGUCUCUCAGCCAAACACCCUUGUUCAGGAUUCAACUAGUAAAACUGUAUACGGCGA